UCUAUGGUAGCUUAGUUGGUUAAAGCGCCGGACUAGCGAUAACGGAGUCGUGGGUUCCAAUCCCACCGAAACAA
rnacentral:tRNA from 1 species